AACGUAGGUGGCAAGCGUUAUCCGGAUUUACUGGGCGUAAAGCGUGCGCAGGCGGCUUUGCAAGACAGCUGUGAAAUCCCCGGGCUUAACCUGGGAACUGCAUUUGUGACUGCAUGGCUGGAGUGCGGCAGAGGGGGAUGGAAUUCCGCGUGUAGCAGUGAAAUGCGUAGAUAUGCGGAGGAACACCGAUGGCGAAGGCAAUCCCCUGGGCCUGCACUGACGCUCAUGCACGAAAGCGUGGGGAGCGAACAGG
rnacentral:rRNA from 1 species